UACGUAGGUGGCAAGCGUUGCCCGGAUUUACUGGGCGUAAAGAGCGCGCAGGCGGUCGUCCAAGUCGCGUGUGAAAGCCCCCGGCUCAACUGGGGAGGGUCACGCGAUACUGGUCGACUCGAAGGCAGGAGAGGGUAGUGGAAUUCCCGGUGUAGUGGUGAAAUGCGUAGAUAUCGGGAGGAACACCAGUGGCGAAGGCGACUUCCUGGCCUGUUCUUGACGCUGAGGCGCGAAAGCUAGGGUAGCAAACGGG
rnacentral:rRNA from 1 species